UAAUGCUUUUCUUGUAUGGGAAAUCAAGGU
rnacentral:piRNA from 1 species